rnacentral:rRNA from 1 species
AUUGAACGCUGGCGGCAGGCCUAACACAUGCAAGUCGAGCGAGCGGCGGACGGGUGAGUAAUGUCUGGGAAACUGCCUGAUGGAGGGGGAUAACUACUGGAAACGGUAGCUACUACUGCAUACCAUCAGACCUGCCCCGAUGGGAUUAGCUAGUAGGUGGGGUAACGGCGCACCUAGGCUACGAUCCCUAGCUGGUCUGAGAGGAUGACCAGCAACACUGGAACUGAGACACGGUCCAGACUCCUACGGGAGGCAGCAGUGGGGAAUAUUGCACAAUGGGCGCAAGCCUGAUGCAGCCAUGCCGCGUGUGUGAAGAAGGCCUUCGGGUUGGAAAGCACGUUCAGCGGGGAGGCGUUACCCGCAGAAGAAGCACCGGCUAACUCCGUGCCAGCAGCCGCGGUAAUUC